GAUGAACGCUGGCGGCGUGCCUAACACAUGCAAGCCGAGCGAUUUACUUCGGUAAAGAGCGGCGGACGGGUGAGUAACGCGUGGGUAACCUGCCCUGUACACACGGAUAACAUACCGAAAGGUAUGCUAAUACGGGAUAAUAUGCUUUAGUCGCAUGGCUGAAGUAUCAAAGCCCCGGCGGUACAGGAUGGACCCGCGUCUGAUUAGCUAGUUGGUAAGGUAACGGCUUACCAAGGCGACGAUCAGUAGCCGACCUGAGAGGGUGAUCGGCCACAUUGGAACUGGGACACGGUCCAAACUCCCACGGGAGGCAGCAGUGGGGAAUAUUGCACAAUGGGCGAAAGCCUGAUGCAGCAACGCCGCGUGAGCGAUGAAGGCCUUCGGGUCGUAAAGCUCUGUCCUCAAGGAAGAUAAUGACGGUACUUGAGGAGGAAGCCCCGGCUAACUACGUGCCAGCCGCCGCAGUAA
rnacentral:rRNA from 1 species